AUGGCGAUGCCGCCUCCUCCUCCGCCUCCACUUUAUCCUGCGACGGCCGGCGGCAAGCCUGAACGGAAGACGGUGGAGCGCAAUCGCCGCAACCAGAUGAACGCGCUGUACUACCGCCUGGACACGCUCGUCCGCGCCGGCGGCGCUGCCCCUUCUCCCGCACCGGCGGCGGCGACUAGGCCUGACAGGCUCGGGGAGGCGGCGGCGUACAUAAGCCGGACGGCGGAGCGGGUGGAGAGGCUCAAAGAUAGGAAGCGCGAGCUGACGGCGGCCAGGGCGGCGUCGACAACCGAACUGGGCACCGGCUCUGGUUCCUCAUCGGGGGCGGCGACCGUCAUGGUGGAGGUUCAGCAUCUUGGCUCCGGUCUGCAUGGCAUCCUCGUCACCGGUGCCCCUCCCAGCGACGGCUCGAUGUUCCACCGUGCCGUGCGCGCGGUGGAGGAGGCCGGCGGCGAGGUGCAGAACGCGCACUUCUCCGUGGUCGGCGCCAGGGCUGUGUACACCAUCCACACGCUGGUUGGAGAACAGCAAGGCAGCAUCGAGAGGGUGGUGCAAAGGCUCAAGGAAACAGUACGUGGACGCUAA
rnacentral:rRNA from 1 species